CCUACGGGCGGCAGCAGUGAGGAAUAUUGGUCAAUGGGCGGGAGCCUGAACCAGCCAAGCCGCGUGAGGGAAGAAGGUACAGCGUAUCGUAAACCUCUUUUGUCAGGGAACAAAGGCGGGGACUAGUCCCCGGAUGAGUGUACCUGACGAACAAGCAUCGGCUAACUCCGUGCCAGUAGCCGCGGUAAUACGGGGGAUGCGAGCGUUAUCCGGAUUUAUUGGGUUUAAAGGGUGCGCCGGCGGACUGUUAAGUCGGCGGUAAAAGCCCGGGGCUCAACCCGGGCGAGCCGUUGAAACUGGCGGGCUGGAGUGGGAGAGAGGGAGGCGGAAUGCGCGGUGUAGCGGUGAAAUGCGUAGAGAUGGCGCAGAACCCCGAUUGCGAAGGCAGCGUACCGGAUACAGACUGACGCUGAGGCACGAAAGCGUGGGUAUCGAACAGGAUUAGAUACCCGGGUAGUC
rnacentral:rRNA from 1 species